rnacentral:lncRNA from 8 species
AUAUUACCUGUUGCACAUACAAAGGUCCAAGAUAACGAGGUAGGUAAACCUUGUAGUUACGCUAUAAUAUGUAGGCUAAUAACGUGAUAACAUUAUAUAUAUACCAUAGAAUAUUUCCAAUAAUAUAUUUUGAAAAUUGAUACAGAAACAUCUGAUGAAAUGCAUAAAUAAAAAGUAUCUCUGUCUGGUAGGAGUUGAAGGAGAGUCUGCAGGUUCUGCUCACCACCAAGAUAGCAGUGUACCUGAUGACCUUCCUCAUAGUGACCGUAGCAUGGGCUGCUCAUAUCAGGUUAUUUCAAGUCAUUGAACGUAUUGAUGACUGCCUUGCACUUCUCAACCUAGUAAGAACUACUGUUUCUCAACACCACACAACCCUGGACCACACCACACCACACCACCCUGGACCACACCACACAACCCUGGACCACACCACACCACACCACCCUGGACCAUACCACACCACACAACCCUGGACCACACCACCCUGGACCAUACCACACCACACAACCCUGGACCACACCACCCUGGACCACACCACACCACACCACCCUGGACCACACCACACCACCCUGGACUACACCACACCACACCACCCUGGACUACACCACACCACACCACCCUGGACUACACCACACCACACCACCCUGGACUACACCACACCACACCACACUGGACUACACCACACCACCCUGGACCACACUACCCUGGACCACACCACACCACCCUGGACCACACCACCCUGGACCACACCACCCUGGACCACACCACACCACCCAACCCUGGACCACACCACCCAACCCUGGACCACACCACCCAACCCUGGACCACACCACCCAACCCUGGACCAUACCACACCACCCUGGACCACACCACACCACACAACCCUAGACCACACCACACAACCCUAGACCACACCACACCACACAACCCUAGACCACACCACACCACACAACCCUAGACCACACCACACAACCCUGGACCACACCACACAACCCUGGACCACACCACACAACCAUGGACCACACCACACCACCCUGGACCACACCACCCUGGACCACACCACACCACCCUGGACCACACCACCCUGUACCACCCUAGACCACACCACACAACCCUGGACCACACCACACAACCCUGGACCACAACACAUAAAGGCUCAAUUUGCCCCCCUUAUAUGGUGUGCCCACUUUGGGACAUGAACCGUCAGGAUAUAGCAUCAAAGCACUGGGCCAGUUAGUCAGGAUAUAACAUCAAAGCACUGGGCCAGUUAGUCAGGAUAUAGCAUCAAAGCACUGGGCCAGUUAGUUAGGAUAUAACAUCAAAGCACUGGGCCAGUUAGUCAGGAUAUAGCAUCAAAGCACUGGGCCAGUUAGUCAGGAUAUAGCAUCAAAGCACCGGGCCAGUUGGUCAGGAUAUAACAUCAAAGCACCGGGCCAGUUAGUCAGGAUAUAACAUCAAAGCACCGGGCCAGUUGGUCAGGAUAUAACAUCAAAGCACCAGGCCAGUUAGUCAGGAUAUAACAUCAAAGCACCAGGCCAGUUGGUCAGGAUAUAACAUCAAAGCACCGGGCCAGUUAGUCAGGAUAUAACAUCAAAGCACCGGGCCAGUUGGUCAGGAUAUAACAUCAAAGCACCAGGCCAGUUAGUCAGGAUAUAACAUCAAAGCACCAGGCCAGUUAGUCAGGAUAUAACAUCAAAGCACCAGGCCAGUUGGUCAGGAUAUAACAUCAAAGCACCGGGCCAGUUAGUCAGGAUAUAACAUCAAAGCACCAGGCCAGUUGGUCAGGAUAUAACAUCAAAGCACUGGGCCAGUUAGUCAGGAUAUAACAUCAAACCACUGGGCCAGUUGGUCAGGAUAUAGCAUCAAAGCACUGGGCCAGUUAGUCAGGAUAUAGCAUCAAAGCACUGGGCCAGUUAGUCAGGAUAUAGCAUCAAACCACUGGGCCAUUUGGUCAGGAUAUAGGACAUGUCCUUAAAUGAACUCACUAAAACAGUUUCACUUCUGUCAUUGUCACGGUGGUAUGAUUCACCAUGUAGUGAAGCCAUGUGUUUUACUGUGGUCAACGUUCUAAACCUUCCCCUUUUUNNNNNNNNNNNNNNNNNNNNNNNNNNNNNNNNNNNNNNNNNNNNNNNNNNNNNNNNNNNNNNNNNNNNNNNNNNNNNNNNNNNNNNNNNNNNNNNNNNNNGCCCAGCCAACAGCGAGUUGCAGUAAUCCAGACGGGAGAUGACAAGUGCCUGGAUUAGGACCUGCGCCGCUUCCUGUGUGAGGCAGGGUCGUACUCUGCGAAUGUUGUAGAGCAUGAACCUACAGGAUCGGGUCACCGCCUUGAUGUUAGUGGAGAACGACAGGGUGUUGUCCAGGAUCACGCCAAGGUUCUUAGCACUCUGGGAGGAGGACACAAGGGAGUUGUCAACCGUGAUGGCGAGAUCAUGGAACGGGCAGUCCUUCCCCGGGAGGAAGAGCAGCUCCGUCUUGCCGAGGUUCAGCUUGAGCUGGUGAUCUGUCAUCCACACUGAUAUGUCUGACAGACAUGCAGAGAUGCGAAUCGCCGCCUGGUUAUCAGAAGGGGGAAAGGAGAAGAUUAAUUGUGUGUCGUCUGCAUAGCAAUGAUAGGAGAGACCAUGUGAGGAUAUGACAGAGCCAAGUGACUUGGUGUAUAGCGAGAAUAGGAGAGGGCCUAGAACAGAGCCCUGGGGGACACCAGUGGUGAGAGCGCAUGGUGCGGAGACAGAUUCUCGCCACGCCACCUGGUAGGAGCGACCUGUCAGGUAGGACGCAAUCCAAGCGUGGGCCGCGCCGGAGAUGCCCAACUCGGAGAGGGUGGAGAGGAGGAUCUGAUGGUUCACAGUAUCAAAGGCAGCAGAUAGGUCUAGAAGGAUGAGAGCAGAGGAGAGAGAGUUAGCUUUAGCAGUGCGGAGAGCCUCCGUGACACAGAGAAGAGCAGUCUCAGUUGAAUACCCAGUCUUGAAACCUGACUGAUUAGGAUCAAGAAGGUCAUUCUGAGAGAGAUAGCAGGAGAGCUGGCCAAGGACGGCACGUUCAAGAGUUUUGGAGAGAAAAGAAAGAAGGGAUACUGGUCUGUAGUUGUUGACAUCGGAGAGAUCGAGUGUAGGGUUUUUCAGAAGGGGUGCAACUCUCGCUCU